UCGAGGAUCUUCGGCAAUGGGCGCAAGCCCGACCGAGCGACGCCGCGUGUGCGACGAAGGCCUUCGGGUUGUAAAGCACUGUCGAGGGGGAGAAACGCCGCAAGGCUUGAUCUAUCCCUGGAGGAAGCUCGGGCUAAGUUCGUGCCAGCAGCCGCGGUAAGACGAACCGAGCGAACGUUGUUCGGAAUCACUGGGCUUAAAGGGCGCGUAGGCGGGCUGCCGCGUCCGGGGUGAAAUCCUCCGGCUCAACCGGGGAAGGGCCUCGGAUACGGGCGGCCUGGAGUGGGGUAGGGGCGUGCGGAACUGUGGGUGGAGCGGUGAAAUGCGUUGAGAUCCACAGGAACUCCGGUGGCGAAGGCGGCACGCUGGACCCUUUCUGACGCUGAGGCGCGAAAGCCAGGGGAGCGAACG
rnacentral:rRNA from 1 species